GAAGCCUUAGCUUAAUUAAAGUGUCUGCUUUGCAUGCAGAAGAUGUGGGUUAAUGCCCUGCAGGUUUUA
rnacentral:tRNA from 1 species